GCAGCUCCCAAACCAGACCUGACUUGCUCCCUGCCAGCUCCAGAGCAGCCUGAGCAGGGUGGAUAGACAUGCCCCGAGGAUAUGUCUGCAUUGCAGUGCAGAGGUGGGGUGUGUGAUACAGAGAACAAGAGCUUCUCAGCCACCAAGGUGCUGUCUGAGUCUGGAAAACAUGAGCAAGAACGGGUCAAGAAACAGGAAAAACCAUGUGGAGUGUUCAUAGAAGGACAUGGAGCUGCUGGAACAUUUAUUCAGCCUUUGAAAGUCCAGUGUCCCAAGCAAAAUUAAACUGGCAGAGAAAACUGAAGCAAGAAGGGAAGUUCAUGCACUUAGAGAGAAAAUGGAAAAGUUUUUUAAACUGGAAAUGUCUGUGACAAGUGUGACAAGGCUUGACUAUUAAAAGGCUGUGUUGCAAGAUAAUUUUUUGGGGAAAGAAUUGCAGCUAGAAAGGGGGUGUGAAAGAAGUGGUUCAUGCUGAGUCAGUAAUUUGAGUGCUGUAGUUUUGUAAUUCACUACUAACCCAAACUGUGGAUCCUACCACUCCUGAGUUUUUGGGCCUGUCUCUUAUCAGAGAAGCAAACAGCCUCUGUGAAAGGAUUCUGAAUACAAAUGGGGGAGCAAAUCCUUUUCAGAGCUAUAAAAACCUCUUGCUUUAAGGAGCCUGAGCGUUUCUGACAAGACUUU